UCUGAAUCCUCUUUGGACUAGUCUCUGAAGGCCAGCAUGCUUUCCCCAUGCCAACUUCUCUGGCUCCUGGUGCUCUGGGCUCAGGAUUCCAGAGGAGCCAUCAUGCUGACCCAGUCUCCAGCCUCCUUGUCUGGAUCUCCAGGAGAGAGAGUCACCAUCAGUUGCAGGGCCAGUGAGAGUCUAACUACUUAUGGUUAUACCUUCCUAAAUUGGUACCAGCAGAAACCUGGCCAAGCCCCCAGGCUCCUCGUCUAUGGUGCUACCAGUCUGGCAUCCGGAGUGCCGGCCCGCUUCAGAGGCAGUGGGUCUGGGACAGAUUUUACUCUCACCAUCAGCAGCCUGGAGCCUGAAGAUGCUGGAGAGUAUUACUGUCAGCAGUCUAAGAGCAGCCCUCUCCCACAGUGCUUCAGCCCUGAACAAAAACCUCUCUUGGCUCUUCAGGGCAGGCAGCUCAGAGCAGCAGCUGCUUCCUCCGUGGUCCCAGGGCAGAGCAGCUUCUGCCCCCUGCUCAGGCUCAUAUCUAGGGCUCCUCUUCCCUGUCCCAACAGCUCCUCUUCUUUCUAACAAAGCCUUGUUUAUUUUGAACUCUGUACCCACAGCCAAGGCAGAGUGGGGGAAGCAGAGCCCUCUGGAAACAAAGGGGGAAAUCCUAGCAGUGGAGAUUUGAAGUUCCCCCUAAAUCUUUGCCUCUACUCAGUGUUUCUCUUGUUGGCGAUCCAGGCUCCUACUGAGGAGGCUUUUCCAUAGUUCCCUGGAGCCAUGAUAGAGCCUAAAUUCCUUUUCCUCUAGGCCUCACCCCACUGGUAUCACAACCCUCACCUCAUUACCUUGACCAGAACAAGAGCCAAGAUGAUGCUCCCACAAUAAACUAGAAUUUACCUACAGUAGUGAGACUGUGAAAGUAGCAAGGUGGCACCCUGAUAACCAGUGGUUUUCUCCAAGGCUGCCAGGACUUUGAAGUGGUUAAUGAGACACUUUCUGUCUGUAGGGUCUAAUGACCUGAAACUCUGCUCCCCUGUUCAUUCGUUGCCUGCCAUUUUCAGAGCAUCAACAACAAAAGUAACAGAAAUCAUAGGACUUGAUCAAUAGAUGGAGAAAAUAAGAAAAAAAAUUAUUCCUGUCAAAAACGCUGGAAAGCAAAGGAUCGAAUGGAUUUUUCCUUAGAUUAAUAAGUAGUAUAUAUUUAAAGGCUUUGGUAAAAAUUAUCUGUAAUGGAGAUGAAUUUGAAGCCUUCCCUAUAAAAUCUGGAGUAAGACAAGAAUGCCCAUUAUCAUCAAUAUUAUUCAAUUUUGUACCAGAAAUGAUAGCAGUAGCUAUGAGUAGAAAAAGAAAUUGAGGUAUCAGGAUGGAUAAAAAGGUAAUAAAACACUCAUUUUUAUGAUGAUAUUAAAAAUAUAGUAAAUCCUAGAGAUUCAAAUAAAAUGAAUUAAAAUUAACAGUAAUUUUAAGCAAAGUAGCAUCAUAUAAAAUAUGCCUUCAUAAAUCAUCAGCAUUUCUAUAUUUCUAUAUACUAAUAAUGUCCUGCAAAAGGAGAUACUAAAAGAUAACCCAUUUAAAUUGGCUAUACAUAGAAUAAAAUACCUAGAAGCAUAUCUUCCUAAACACAUCCUGAAACUAUAGGAAUAUAAUUUAAAAUGCUUUUUAUACAAAUAAAUCAGCUUUAAAUAAUUGGAGAUACAAUAAUUAUUCCUGGGUGGGCAGGGCCAAUGCAAUUAAUAUGACAAUCCUACCUCAACUAAGGUACUUUUUCAAUGCCAUCCUAAGUAAAUUACCAAAGUUUACUUUAUUGAAUUAGGAAAAAAAAACAUUAUGAAAUUUCAUUUAGAAAGAAACAUCAAGAAUAUCAAUAGAAAUAAUGUAAGAAUCUUAAAGAAUCUAUUAGAACCAGAUUUCAAACUAUAUCAUGAAGCAGUAAUUAUCAAAACUCUCUGGUAUUGGGUAAGAUAAAGUACCUCAGGGGAACAGAAUAGGCAAGCAACAGAUUUUCAUAAAAGAUUAUAGUAAUCUUGUGCCUGGCAAAGGUAAAGUUACAUGUUUUUGAAAUGAGAAUUUACGUUUUGUUUGGGAAAUUAUUUGGAAAAUGGAAGGCAGUUUGGCAGAAACUAGAUGCUGAUCAAUGUUUUAUACCACUUACUAAAGUAGGAUCAAAAUGGAUAUAUGACCUGUGUAUGACAGGGAGAUAUUAUAAACAAAUAAGGAAGAAAGGAACAUAUUACAUACUCGAUUAAUGGACAGAAGAAAAUUUAUGAAUAGACAAAAGAUGGAAAAUAUUUUAAAAUGUAAAAUGGAUAAAUGUUGAUACAUUAAAUAAAAGAGUUUUUGUGCAAAUAAAACGAAUGUAGCCAAGAUUACAAGGAAAACAAUAACUUGGGGUGGAAAUUUUGUAGAUGUUUUCUUUGCAAAAGGUCUUAUAUCUAUAAUAUAGAGAGAACUUUGUCAAAUAUCUGAGUGUGGCUAUUCUUAGUUGAUAAAUGAUCAAAAGAUAAAAGUAUUUAGAUGAAGAAAUUGAUGCUAAAUGAAGAGUUUCUCUAUAUCAUAAUUGAUUAGAGAAAUGCAAAUCAUAACUCAGAGAUUUCAUCUCAUCCCCAUGACGAAAAGUAAAAAAGGGGAAAAUGGCAAAUACUGGAGGGGAAACAAAUGUUGGAGUGGAAAAAUAGGAACAUUAACACAUUGCUGAUGGAACUAGGAAGUGAUCCCAUCAUUUUCGAGAACAAUGUGACAUAAUAAUCAGAGUUAUAUAACAGUGUAUAUCUUUUGACCCAGCACUACCUGUAUGAGAUUUGUUUCCUAUGGUGAUCAAGGAGAAGGAAAAAGAAAUUAUAUCUGAAAAUAUUUCUAGCAACUCUUUUUGUGAUAGCAAAGAACUGGAAAUUGAAGGGAUGACCAUCAAUUGGGGAAUGUCUGAACAAUUUGUGGUUCAUGUUUGUAAUGAAAUACUAUUGUGCUAUGAUAAAUAACAAACAAAAUGAACUCCCAAAUAAAAAAAUAUCUGAAAAGAUUUAUAUGAAAUCAUGCAAAGUGACAGGAACAGAACCAGGAGAAUGUUAUACACAGUAAUAAUAAUACAUGAUGAUCAACUGUAAGAAAGUAAGGAUCCAGGACAACUAUGAGGUACUCAUGACAAAAAAGGAUGACUACCAUCAUAAAAAAGUAGACUUGAAACAUAUCACUCAUCACUUUAUUUCCUCCAUGAAUUUUUCCUUUGUUUAAGCAUUUUAUGUCUUGUUUCACAACAUAGUGAACAGGGAAAUAUGUAUUAUAUGAUAAUAUAUGUAAAACCAAGUAAUAUUAUCUGACUUCUUGAGGAGGCAGGAGGGCUGGGAAGGAGGGUAGAAAAAGAAUGAUACUAUUGUGAUAUAAGGAAAAAUAAAGUGGAGGAAUUCCAUGGAGACUGGAACGACCUCCAGGAAGUGAUGCAGAGCGAAAGGAGCAGAACCAGGAAAACAUUGUACACAGAGACUGAUACAUUGUGGUACAAUUGAAUGUAAUGGACUUCUCCAUUAGUCUCAAUUCAAUGUCCCUGAACAACCUGCAGGGACCAAGGAGAAAAAACACUACCCACAAGCAGAGGACAAACAGUGGGAGUAAAAACACUUGACUACAGGGGUGGAGGGGAUAUGACCGAGGAGAGACUCUGAACAAACACCCUACUACGGAAACCAAUAACAGGGAAAUGGGCUCCGGUUGAGGACGCAUGUGACAC